CGUCCCGUCCCCUUCCCGUCCGGCCCGACCUACUACGACGGUCGGUUCGUUCCUUACGGUAAGGUUUAGGUUUAGUACUACUAGGUCGGUCUACGAGUUAGUACGGACGUGGUCGGGCGCUACGCUUAACACAUGCAAGUCGGACGGUAACAGGCCUUCGGGUGCUGACGAGUGGCGGACGGGUGAGUAAUGCGUGGGAAUCUGCCCACCAGUGGGGAAUAACGCAGGGAAACUUGCGCUAAUGCCGCAUAAUCUCUUUGGAGGAAAGCGGGGGACCUUAGGGCCUCGCGCUGGUGGAUGAGCCCACGUCGGAUUAGCUAGUUGGUGGGGUAAAGGCCUACCAAGGCGACGAUCCGUAGCCGGCCUGAGAGGGUGGACGGCCACACUGGGACUGAGACACGGCCCAGACUCCUACGGGAGGCAGCAGUGGGGAAUCUUGGACAAUGGGGGCAACCCUGAUCCAGCGAUGCCGCGUGUGUGAAGAAGGCCUGCGGGUUGUAAAGCACUUUUAUUGGGGACGAAUAAAAUGACGGUACCCAAGGAGAAAGCCCCGGCUAACUACGUG
rnacentral:rRNA from 1 species